UCAUUUCUCUUUGUGGUGGUUCUGGGUGUUGAACAGAAGGAAUGGGGAAAAAAAGUGGCAAUAGACAUUUGCAGAAAGACCAGGGACUUGUAGCAAAAGCAGUGGCAGUGUCACAUUUGUGAACUGUUGUUGGUAGCAAAGGUUCUCUCUAAUAUGAAUGCCAGUAGGGUUUCAACCAGAUGUGAUUCAAUUCAGUUUAGCUCUAUGUUACAAUCAUAGUUAUUUGCAUUGUCGUGACCUGGAGGGAACUCCUCUAAAUCUUGUGAUUCAUCAUCCAUCCAUCAGAAAUUACCAAGAGGUUUUUGAGGCAAACCUCUCUCACCCCUAUGGUUUUGGCAGCAGAGGCAACACAUGGAGCUCUUGAUAUUCAGCAGUGAAACAAUGUCAUCUUUUCAUCAGAAUUGCUUUCUUUCACAAAAAGAAAUCGAGAUAUGGAAAGAGUCAGAAAUUUAUGUUUGCUAUUGGUGAUAUUUAGAAGCUGAUUCCCUCAAGAAAUGUAACAACAGCAUCACUGGGUUCACACGAUCAGAAGGCUGCUAUAUUUUGCACAGGAAAAAAGGAAGGCAGAAAGAAAGAAACAGAAACCAGGAGAAAAGAAUGAAAACACAAAGUGAAUAAACAAGAGAUUUACAAGGAUCACAUGAGAUUCUAUUGGAAUCUAUCAUUUGACUGCCAUAUUUUCAAUAUUCAUGCAUGAAUAGAGUCUUAGCAGCAACAGCCACAACAACAACAACAACAACAACAAAACAGCAAUUGCACAAACAACUGAGUCAAGAAGCUCUCUGUGCACUCCGAAGUAUCUUCCCCUUGGAAGAGGGAAAAAUGGGAGAGGAAAGAAACACUGAUAAAAAGGUAGAACGUUAUGUACAUUGGAGGGAUUCAAGAAGCCUCUGUGUUGGAGUGGGAAGGGACCAGUGACCUUUUCACAUCACUCUCUCAAUCCGUGAAAGCAGAGGAAAAAUGCCUGCAGUAGAAGAGCAAAGCGGAUGCCUUCGUCACGGGCAAAAAUGGCCUCACUUCAUCCCAUGCAGCAGAAAGAUGUUGGAAUGAUUUCAAAUACGCCUGGAUCAGGAUGGCUGCCAUCUGCUAAAAGUCCAAUAUCGCACAACAAAAGUUUGGGGUGAAGCAGAUUCUUUUUUGGGUAAUGAUGAUUUCACCA